rnacentral:rRNA from 1 species
UCCUACGGGAGGCAGCAGUAGGGAAUCUUCCACAAUGGACGCAAGUCUGAUGGAGCAACGCCGCGUGAGUGAAGAAGGGUUUCGGCUCGUAAAGCUCUGUUGUUAAAGAAGAACGGGUCUGAGAGUAACUGUUCACGCGGUGACGGUAUUUAACCAGAAAGCCACGGCUAACUACCUGCCAGCAGCCGCGGUAAUACGUAGGUGGCAAGCGUUGUCCGGAUUUAUUGGGCGUAAAGCGAGCGCAGGCGGUUUUUUAAGUCUAAUGUGAAAGCCUUCGGCUCAACCGAAGAAGUGCAUUGGAAACUGGGAGACUUGAGUGCAGAAGAGGACAGUGGAACUCCAUGUGUAGCGGUGAAAUGCGUAGAUAUAUGGAAGAACACCAGUGGCGAAGGCGGCUGUCUGGUCUGUAACUGACCCUGAGGCUCGAAAGCAUGGGUAGCGAACAGGAUUAGAUACCCUGGUAGUCCAUACCGUAAACGAUGAUUACUAAGUGUUGGAGGGUUUCCGCCCUUCAGUGCUGCAGCUAACGCAUUAAGCAAUCCGCCUGGGGAGUAC